GCCGCCUCAUAAUAAUUGAUAUUCAUGACUAUUAAUAUUACACGACUACUUUAAAGGGAGAAUGCAGGACCAAAUGGAGCGUGAAGCUGGCAGCCAGCUCGAGAGCUCCCCUACUAUUGUAAAUGACGUUCAUUCAGUGGAGAAUUACUCGAUGUAAUCAGACGAGGGGGGCUGGCAGGGGCAGAGUUUGGGGAGAGGGAGAGGGGGGAAAAAGUUUAGCAGGGAAGAGGCAGAACUUCAAUUAACUCGAGCGGGGGAAGACGUGGAAAGCAGACACUGAGCAGGGAAGGGAGAUGGAGCAGUGCUGGAGGCGAAGAAGAAGAAAAAAACCGGAGAUUAAGCCCUUCUGGUGCGUGUUCCCGACCGUGCUCAUUCGGAACAGCCCAAUAAACGCUGCAGCGGGGUGAAGUUGGGCUCCCUUCAAUUCCGAAUCCUCCUCCAGCCCGAUACGCAGAAAGAACCCAACCCGCCGUAUAGAUAUGCACAUAUCUAUCCCGAUUUUCACCCGAAUGUAAAAUGUAUGCAGUGAUUUUUAAAGGAUAGUAAAUUUCUAGUUUCGAGGCAAAGCCGGGGGCGAUGUAAAACCUUUUUGAUGUUGCAGGAACUCGUUCAACUGGACUGUCUGCCAUUUCUGUUAAAGUUCAACUUACGUUCCUUCCUAAAUAGACUCACACUUCCCAGAGCAGCCCCCCCAAUCCCCAUUACACGCACACACACACUUUUGUUUUAAGAACAGAUUCCAUUUAAGCGCCUGAGACGCCCCUGUAAUCGCGUUCUCAAUUAGAAAUCGGAAAGAAAAAGGAGAAGGAGGAGAAACACUUUUUUUUUCUUCUUCUUUUUUUUUUUUUUUUUUUUCUUUUACGAAUCCUUCCUCCUCUUUCAAACCGACCCACAAAAAUAUUCUUUUGAAAGCUGCCCGCUACGGAAUGACCCGGAGCUCAUCGGCGGGUUAGGAUCUCUCUGCCCCAUCCCACCGCUCUCACGGCCGUGGAGGGACGCACGACGCUUCCAUCUCCCCUUCCAAAAACCAGAGAGGGGAGAAAAAACCCCGACAUUCCCCCACCUCGCAGGACGAGAAAAGAGACGUUUUGUCGCCCGCUGCUGAGGCACAGACAAUGGCCGGGCUGUGCUGGGGACGGGGAAGGCUCGGCGGGUCUGGGGGCUGCAGGGAGACCUGGACACCCACCGAGCUGCGAUGCCGGUUGAUAACGAGCCUGAACGCAGCUCGGAAAGCCGGAGAUACUGCGGCUCUUUCCCAUCCUCACUCCGGCUGUGAAAAGUCGGAGCAGUGCCCUCCCUCUCCGCGUUUUUCUUUCUUUCUUUCUUUCUUUCUUUUUCUUUUUCUUUUUUUUUUUUUCCCCUUCUCUUUUCUUUUUAUCUCUGUCUGCUUUCCCGACGGAAGUCCGAAGAGAUGCGGGACCGCUUUGGGGCUGUUGCUGCUGUGCGGCCCCGACGGCGCUUCCCCGGGCCGGACGGUAUAGCCCAAAGCCUUUCCAACACCCCCAACCAACAGCUGUGAGAAUCCUUCCCCAAUCCUACGAACACCAGCAUCACCAAAUCCAAAUUAAAAAUAAAAAUAAUAAUAAUAAUAAAAAAAAACAAAAAAACGAACAACAAAAAUUCAUUGACGAAGCGGCAAACCUUUCCUUCCAUCUUAUUAUUAUUAUUAUUAUUAUUAUUAUUAUUAUUAUUAUUAUUUGUUCCAAUUUCGGAUCCGAUCCAGCGCGCUGCUUUACUUACAAGGAACGCAUUCGCGGAGUCGCUUUGGGAAAGAUCCGGGCAAAAUUAAGAACCGUUUGGCUCUGCUGUGAUCCUCCUCCCCCCCAACACACACACCGUCCCCUCCCGCCUCGCUCUGCUUUUGGACCUCAAAAAAAAAUCCCGAGGAGGUCUCUGAAAUCAAGCCCAGAACUUUCCGUGCUCGCUUUGGAUGGAUCGGUUCGGCUGCGUGUACCCAAAGACGUGAGAGAAUGUGUGUGUGCUUCGUCAUUAGCGCUGGUGGAUGAGGACGCGCACAUCUUAUCUACCGGUGUAUGCGUGUAAAAAGAGUCGUAAAAAACGCCAUCCGGUCGUGAAAACGAGAAAAAGACAAUCUAUCUAUAUACCCAAAUUCAGGUAGAGCUUAGAUUGGGAUCGGAAAUUAAGAAACUAGCACAAAAAGAAAAGAAAGAAAUGCAUCCCGUCCCCGAAUACCAGAUCGCGUUUCUCUUCUAAUUUCAUCUUUUCCCCUCUUUCUCGACAUUUGCCCGCAUUUAAUCGAAUUACAUUUAAUUCGGGCUCUAAACAACCCAACUCUUGCCUUUAAGUUGCCUCAUUCCAACCCUCAGAUCGUUUCUUUGAUGUUUUAAAUCGCAUCAAACAGCUUUUCCACGAAAGAAAAAAAAAAAAAAAAAAAAAGAAAAGGAAAAAAAAAAAAAGAAA